GAUGAACGCUGGCGGCGUGCCUAAUACAUGCAAGUCGAGCGAACAGACGAGGAGCUUGCUCCUCUGACGUUAGCGGCGGACGGGUGAGUAACACGUGGAUAACCUACCUAUAAGACUGGGAUAACUUCGGGAAACCGGCGCUAAUACCGGAUAAUAUCUUGAACCGCAUGGUUCAAUAGUGAAAGACGGUUUUGCUGUCACUUAUAGCUGGUUCCGCGCCGCAUUAGCUAGUUGGUAAGGUCACGGCUUACCAAGGCAACGAUGCGUAGGCGACCUGAGAGGGUGAUCGGCCACACGGGAGCUGAGACACGGUCCAGGCUCCUACGGGAGGGAGCAGUAGGGAAUGUGCCGCAAUGGGCGAGAGCCUGACGGAGCGGGGCCGCGUGAGUGAUGAAGGUCUUCGGAUCGUAAAGCUCGGUUAUUGGUGGAAAACAAAUGUGUAAGUAGCUAUGCACGUCUUGACGGUACCUAAUCAGAAAGCCACGGCUAACUACGUG
rnacentral:rRNA from 1 species